rnacentral:lncRNA from 1 species
GGAAAAGCAAGAGACUAAGGUGCUGUCUACUUGUAUAUCUUCUGUGUUGUUCGUAAGCUCCGCAUUUGACUUCGUAAAUAUUUUUGCUUCAAUA